AUCAAUCAAUUGGUGUUAGAGCACUAGCUAUUAUUGUUAUUAUUUGAAAGGCUUUUAAAAUUUUAAAAUUUUAUUUUCUGUUUUAAUAUUUUGACUGUUUUCUUUUAUUUAUUAUGUGAGUUACAAAUUGUUUAAUUUUUAGUUUUUAUUUUCUAUUCAUUGUCCUAAUUUUUUGGUUUAAUAUGUCUGGAGGUUACGAGUGUUGAAUGCCUAUAAAAAUCCACUUCUCCUUCACAUUUGAACACACCACAAUCAGAUUUCUCUAUUCUCAUACUUUCAUAUAUUCCCUACUUUCCAUAUUAUUUUUGGGCAACGGCUCUGUGACUUGGAGAUUUCUAUCCGACUGUGAACGUGCUCAUAGCAGACCUUAAGCCUGCGUAUUGGGGUCGUAUCUUGUAGUCUUGUAGAUCGUCAUUACCUACACGUAGGGAGGUUACAAAGGCUUUAGGACAACGUCUUUGACAUGCUUUCACUAUACCAUACUUGUUUUCUUACUCUUGACUUAUUUUUUUUAUUUAUUUGUUUCUUUAUUUUACUUUAUUGUUUACGCUUUAUUUUACAUAUUAUUUAUAUCUAAAGGUUUGAGUAAGAGUUUUACAGAAAAGGAAAAUACAAUUUUUAAUUACAAAGAGUUUUAUAGAAAAGAAAAAACACAAUUUUUAAUAACAAUUAAAACAAAUAGAG
rnacentral:lncRNA from 1 species